UCAGUUUUUCUGUCCCUCGCGAAGAAACAUAAACAGUAUUUGUGAAAUUUGGAUUAGAAACUAUUAUUUUAUUAGUUUAUUUUGUUGUGUUUAAGUGUUGUGUAUUUGUACCUACUGGAUAAUAUUUUCCAACAUAUUUAAUUAAGCAAAAAGCAUCUGUUUUACAGGUGUGACUGCUAAGUGGUCGUACUCGCCACUUUAACCAAGCAUUGGUGGGACCUUCAGAGAUCAUAAUGCGAAUUUCUUCAUACCAUGUAAAUCUAUAUACAUGUAUUAAUAAAUGCGUUUGCUUUA